CAGAAAGAUUUCUCAAAGCAAAGCUCUUUGCGUUUUGAUUUUAUAAUUAUCGCCCUCGAAAAAUAAAACGUAUCGUAUCGCUUCAUUUCGGUGCCGUGUCGUGUCGUGUCCGAGAGAAAAAAGAAAGAAAGAUGACGGUGAAGCACGUGAACGAGUCUGAUCUUCAGAAACCGAAGAAGGUGGUGAUACCGUCGCCGGAGACGGAGAUGAGAGUGAAUUCCGGCGAUCUCCUCGCUGGAAAGAAUGUGCCGAAGAAGAAGGUGACGACGAUGAAGUACGUGCACAGUCAGAUCUUGAAGAUCCGAGAGGAAGACUCGCAUCUCGGCGAGGAUUUCGGUCUCGGACUCAAAGAACACUCUCAUCAUCAUCAUCUUUAUCAUCAUGAUCAUCAUGAUCGUGAUCGUGAUCAUCAUGAUGAUGUGGAAUCGGCGAUGGAGGUGGUGAUGUUCACGAAGCCGACCUUGCCGAGCUCACCUCUCAGCGGCAAGACCACCACCACAACAACAGUCAAGUCGUUACACUGAGAAAAUCGAACCAGACGGACAUAAUCAAGGAUUUCGUAUAUGGGAUUCCAAGGAGAAGAUGUGGACUUUAGUUAAAGAAAAAGUAAAGUUGAAAUCAAAGUUUUAUCUCUGGUCACUUUUUUUAGCAGUUAGGAGAGAGAGAGAGAGAGAGAGGGUCUUUUAUGUAUACAGUGAAGAAAGCAAAUGUGAAAAGUAUGGGCCGGUUUGAAAUAUUUUCCUAGGCUAGUUAAGUUUUUAUGUGUAAUAUGAAUUUUUGGUCAGGCAAAAUGGGCAGAUGAUAUAAGUGCAACUAUUUGUCAUGCCAUUCCUAUCCAUUAUCUGUAAGUAGAGCAGCAAAAUGAUGGCAAGUUAGGCUUAGAAAAAUGGGAUCAAAAUGACUUCAUGAAUUCAUCGGUUGGUCGGUUUUGGUACCAUACAAUUUAUCCCCAAGCCCAUUUAUUGUUUUUA